UACGUAGGGGGCUAGCGUUGUCCGGAAUCAUUGGGCGUAAAGCGCGUGUAGGCGGUCCGGUAAGUCCGCUGUGAAAGUCGGGGGCUCAACCCUCGGAUGCCGGUGGAGUACUGUCGGGCUUGAGUACGGAAGAGGCGAGUGGAAUUCCUGGUGGUAGCGGUGAAAUGCGCAGAUAGUCAGGAGGAACACCAAUUGCGAAGGCAGCUCGCUGGGACGUUACUGACGCUGAGACGCGAAAGCGUGGGGAGCAAACAGG
rnacentral:rRNA from 1 species